CAGUAGCCGCGGUAAUACGAGGGGUGCAAGCGUUAUUCGGAUUGAUUGGGUGUAAAGGGUGUGCAGACGGCUUAUUAAGUCACUUGUUAAAUUCUUCGGCCUAACUGAAGGUCUGCAAGUGAUACUGAUGAGCUAGAGGGUGGAAGAGAGAAGUGGAAUUCCCGGAGUAGCGGUAAAAUGCGUAGAUCUCGAGAGGAACACCAAUGGCGAAGGCAGCUUCUUGGUCCAUUCCUGACGUUCAUACACGAAAGCGUGGGGAGCAAACAGGAUUAGAUACCCGAGUAGUCCCUGUCUCUUAUAC
rnacentral:rRNA from 1 species